rfam:Schistosoma rodhaini strain Burundi genome assembly, scaffold: SROB_scaffold0000452
AUCCAGCUAACGAGUUCCAAAUAGGAUGAAACGCGUUUCCUGAAU